rnacentral:rRNA from 1 species
AUUGAACGCUGGCGGCAUGCCUUACACAUGCAAGUCGAACGGCAGCACGGGAGCAAUCCUGGUGGCGAGUGGCGAACGGGUGAGUAAUACAUCGGAACGUGCCCAGUAGUGGGGGAUAGCCCGGCGAAAGCCGGAUUAAUACCGCAUACGACCUGAGGGUGAAAGCGGGGGAUCGCAAGACCUCGCGCUAUUGGAGCGGCCGAUGUCAGAUUAGGUAGUUGGUGGGGUAAAGGCCUACCAAGCCGACGAUCUGUAGCUGGUCUGAGAGGACGACCAGCCACACUGGGACUGAGACACGGCCCAGACUCCUACGGGAGGCAGCAGUGGGGAAUUUUGGACAAUGGGGGCAACCCUGAUCCAGCAAUGCCGCGUGCAGGAAGAAGGCCUUCGGGUUGUAAACUGCUUUUGUACGGAACGAAAAGGCUCUGGUUAAUACCUGGGGCUCAUGACGGUACCGUAAGAAUAAGCACCGGCUAACUACGUGCCAGCCGCCGCCGUAAUAC